rnacentral:rRNA from 1 species
GACGAACGCUGGCGGCGUGCUUAACACAUGCAAGUCGAACGGAAAGGCCCUGCUUUUGUGGGGUGCUCGAGUGGCGAACGGGUGAGUAACACGUGAGUAACCUGCCCUUGACUUUGGGAUAACUUCAGGAAACUUGGGCUAAUACCGGAUAGGAGCUCCUGCUGCAUGGUGGGGGUUGGAAAGUUUCGGCGGUUGGGGAUGGACUCGCGGCUUAUCAGCUUGUUGGUGGGGUAGUGGCUUACCAAGGCUUUGACGGGUAGCCGGCCUGAGAGGGUGACCGGCCAAGUUGGGACUGAGAUACGGCACGGACUCCUACGGGAGGCGGCAGUGGAGAAUAGUGCACAAUGGGCGGAAGCCUGAUGCAGCAACGCCGCGUGCGGGAUGACGGCCUUCGGGUUGUAAUCCGCUUUCGCCUGUGACGAAGCGUGAGUGACGGUAAUGGGUAAAGAAGCACCGGCUAACUACGUG